AACAGUUUUCCCAGCUGCUUUUGUCAGGAAAUCUGUCCUUGCCUUUUGUCCUGGGGCAUUUCCGAUUUCAGCAGUAUUAUUUGUAUUAAUAAUUAUUAUUAUUCUUAUAUUGUUGACAGUAAUACCAAGAGUGCUUGUUUCAGGUUUCUACUGUUUUCUCAGAGGUCAAGAGACAGGACUCUGGGACUUCAGUCAAUUCUAGACAGCCUGAGGCUUGCACAGAGAUCUGGAAUCAGGAAAGAAAGAGCUAGAGGCCAGAUUGGAGAAGACAUUAGAUGAAGACAUUUGAAGACCAAGAAAGUGAAUGGGCAGGAGCCAAGAGUGACUUUGAGAGGCAGUAGUAAGAAAGAACAGCAGAAACAGUAUCAAGACUUCUUGAGACGAGGAUGAGAAACCUGAAGAAGGAACAACUGGAACUGACUAUCUGGGAAGGUACAAAUAAACAAGAAGCAGAACUGGGUCA
rnacentral:lncRNA from 1 species